AGAUGGUGCAGGAUCGCUUUUAAUGGUUGAUCGGUAAGGACUACAAUGGAGUGUACCUGGAAGUAAGGGCGAAGCCAUUGCGCCGAUAUGAUCAGAGCAUAAAUCAUUUUCUUCGUUCUUGAAUAUCGGACUUCGAUGUUAUGGAGUACUUUGCUGGUGUAGUAGACAAGUCAGUGAAUUCGAUUUUUAUCUUUCCGAACGAGUAUCGAACUAACCGCCUCUGUCGAUGUCGCCAAGUAGAG
rnacentral:lncRNA from 1 species